CUGCAACUUUCAGACAUUUAGUUUGCUCCUCUAUCCUUUAACAAUUAGUACUGUUUUGAGGGUGAGAAAGCGCUUAACAAUUCUCUAACCUUCUACACCAAAGAAUAUAUACAUAAAAUAUUUUUCUAUAUAGGAGCAAGCACCAUUUCAAGGGACACAAAACAGGCUAUUUCAGCAUCGCCUCUGCCUUCACAGCCCUUGCCGAUCAAGUAAGUGGAGCCUGCUGUUUACAUUGGUUUAUUCACUACAGGGAGGGGUGGUUUCCAGUUGAUGUGUGUGAUUGCUUUUCUGUAUACAAUUUAAACCCUGGAAUUUUGCAGCUUUUAAACGGCAACCUAAGGUAGAUUAUGUCUUCCCCAGUAAGCCUGCCAAUUUCAGUCUUUUUGAGAGGAUAAGAGAUAAGACACAGGGGUGAGAACCAGGGGGAAAUCAUCAAAGAAGUGUAAAGAGAGCCAGGGCAGAGAAAAGAGGAGUGAAAAAUAAGAGAUCACAGGGAAAAUAUUCUUGUUAUGCAUCAGCUCUUUCUUAAGUGGUAUGGACAUGUUCAAAGAAUGACGGUAGCAUAUCAAAUGAACAAAGAGGACUUUAGAAGGGACUUCUGCUGAGAAAUUUGGGAACAAUUUGAGCAUCAAUCUUAAGAAAGGUAUUGAUAGAUUAUUACCUAUCAAUAGCUUUUCAAUAUCAAAAGUCUGUAGUCCAAAAUGAUGAAAUAAGUAAAUGAAUAAAUAAAUGAGGAAUAAUGGAAAACUCUUUUUAACAGAAUAAUGACAUAUAAUAAAUAUAGAAUAAAUAAUUGGAGUUAAAAUUCAUCCAUGGCUGCUAAAACUAGUGGAUGAAAAUUUGAAGAGAAAUGGAAAAUUUACAUAGCCUCAAAUUAUUGUUAUAAAUUACUUAAAAAUUAUAAGCAGAAGAGUGAUCAUUUUACAGAACAGAAAAAUUGGAGACACUGUCCUAAGCAAGAGGUUAAAACUACUAUGACUAAAUAUUAUGUAAAACAAAUAUUGUGUGACACGAUGUAAAAAAAUACAGCAUUGCUUUUGUGGCAUUUAUUGCAAAAGUACAAAAAUGAAUAUAAUAAAUCCAAUUUGAAAAACGUUUUAAACAAUACUGAUUUGUAUUUUUCAACCAUGAAAAAGGCUAACAAUGGACAAAAUAAGAUUAAACGAAAAAGGUCAGAUAAUCGUUUCAGAUGAUAGUAGACUGAAGAGACAUGGAAACUAAAUGUUUUGUGUGACCUUGCUUUGCGUGAUCCUACAUAAAUAAAACAGUAAUUUGGGUCAUUAUACAGAUAAUACAUGAAAUGUGAUUAUUUUAUCUGGAGUAGAAGAAAUUAUUAUAUCAAUGUUAAAUUUCUUAAUUAAAAAAGCAUAUAUAUGUGUACCCAUAUAUGUACACAAUAUAUAGAUAUUACCUCAAAGAGAGAGGGAGACAAAUUGAGAGAAUGAUAAAGCAAAUAGGAAAAAUGUUAACAAUUGGUAAAUCUGAGUAAAUAGUAUUCAGGAUCUCUAGUGCCAUUCUUGCAGCAGUUUCAUAAGUUUUAGCAUACAUAAAAACGAUAUGUGCACAAAGUUUUUAUCAAUUAACAUUUUAUAUUAUUUUUGUUAAUGACAACUGUAUCUAUAGACAUUUGACAAGUAAUACAUAGAUCUGAUAAUUCCUUACCUAGAUGAUAUGGUUUGGCCGUGUCCCCACCCAUAUAUCACCUUGAAUUGUAGCUCCUACAAUUACCACAUACUAUGGGAGGAACCCAGUGGGAAAUGAUUGAAUUACGAGGGCAGGUCUUUCCUGCACUGCUCUUAUGAUACUGAAUGAGACUCACAAGAUCUGAUGGUUGUAAAAACGGAAGUUUUCCUGCCCAAUCUCACUCUUCGCCUACUGCCAUCCAUGUAAGAUACGAUUUGCUCCUCCUUGUCUUCUCCCAUGGUUGUGAGGCUUCCCCAGCCACGUGGAACUGUAAGUCCAAUUAAACCUCUUUCAUUUGUAAAUUGCCCAGUCCUGGGUACGUCUUUAUCAGGAGCAUGAAAAUGGACUAACACAACAAAAUAUUAUUUUAUAUGUAUAUCUGUUCUACUUUGUUUAAUAAAUUAUAAAUUCAACUAGUUUAAACGCAAAACUGUUUAUUGAAAACAAUUCAUGAUGGGUAUUUGUGCUUAACUGGCAUAUGGACACUUGGAGUUCUUAUAGAUCAAUUUAAUGGGAAUUGUGUUCUCCCAAAAAUCAUUUGCAAAGUUUAUUGUAUAUUGGAUUUGUCUGUGGAGAUAUUUUUUACAUUUAUAUUACAUUGUUAAAAAGUAUAUUACAUUUUUCAAAAAGUAUUGGAACAAUUGUUAGCCCAACUUUCUUUAACCACUACCCCAAGUUACUUUUUUUCCUGGUACAAUGGAAAAAACUUAUUUUUGUCAGUAUACUUUGCACACUCUCUACGUAAAUUUACUACGUAUCACAACAUAUGCAUGUGUUUGUAUGUCUAUGUUGGUUUGGUUCUUUUCAUCCUUAAGAUCAUAUAUCUGGUGUUGUUAUUUCUUUCUAACUCAUUGUGUUAGGCUGCUCUUGUAUUGCUGUAAAGAAAUAUCUGAGGCUGGGUAAUUUACAAAGAGUUUUAACUGGCCCACAUUUCUGCAGGUUGCACAGGAAGCGUGACACUGACAUCUGCUUGGGUUCUGGGGAGGCCUCAGAAAGGUUUUACUCAUGGAAGAAAGCAGAGUGGGAGGUUACACAUCACUUGGCAAAGGCAGGAGCAACAGGGAGUUGUGAGGGAGGUGCCACACACUUUUAAACAACUGGAUCUCAGGUGAACUCACUCAUCACCAAGGGGUUGGAGGUUAGCCAUUCAUGAGGGAUACACUUCCAUAAUCCAAACACCUCCCACCAGGCCCCACUUCCAACACUGCAGAUUACAUUUUAACAUGAAAUUUGGCAAGGACACAGAUCCAAAUCACAUCACUCACCAAUACCUGUUUUUUAACAAUAAACUUGAGUCAUCAAAACUCACAAGUUUGUACCACCAGUUGAUAUUUCAGCUAUUGACUUUGAGAAUUAUGCAUUGUAAGGAAGGAGAAAUUGAGAUGAAUGCCCAUGUAGUAGCAUAUACAAUAUUGUGUUUUGGAUCAGCUCUGUGCUAGCGGAAUAUACAGAUGCAUUAAAACAAAAGAUGUGAUAGCACUGCAAAAACAUUUUUUUACUUUAAUAUUCCUAAUUUGAGCCAAUUAUUAUACUGUAAAACAAAAAUCCAUUUGCAUUUUAUCUCGUUAACUGUUAAUACAAAAUAUUCUCUUUUAUGUCAAUUUUUAAAUUUAAAAUAGUGCACAUAGGCAAGGCAUAGUGGCUCGUGCCUGUAAUUCCAGCAUUUGGGAGGCCAAGUGGAUGGAUCGUUUGAGCUCAGGGGUUAGAGACCAGCCUGGGCAACAUGGCAAAACCUCAUCUCUACCAAAAAAAAAAAAAACCAGGCGUGGUGUUGUGCCCCUGUAGUCCCAGCUCCUUGGGAGGUUGAGGUGGGAGGAUAUUUGAGCCUAGGAAGUUGAGUCUGCAGUGAGCCAUGAUCGCACCACUGUGCUCCAGCCUGGGCAACAGAGUGAGAACCUGUCUCAAAAAAAAUAAAUGAAUAAAUAAAAAUAAAGUAGCGCACAUGGCAGCUGGUUCUCCACACAAACUCUGAAAAGUAGGUUUUGUGAAAUAUUCAUAGAUAAAUCAUCUACUAGAUAAAAAUUACAUUGCCAGCAUUAAAACAAAAUGUAUAUUCUGAAAAAUUUAGAAUAUUAUUUUAUGUAAAAUUAUUUUUUACAUUUUAAAAAAUGUAAAAUGUAAUUCCAAGCACAUAGUAAGGAUGCAGAAACAUCUAUUCGUUGACUGUUCAUUUAUGGUUUGGUGGAGUUCUAUGUAAAUAUAGAAUACAUGCUUUUCAACUCGUAUUUUCAACUAAUCUUUUAAAAGUAUUUCCAUUGCAUAUUAAGGAUAGUAUAUCAAUUCAGAAAAUAUCAUUUCAAUCCCAUUAAAUAAUAAUGGCAUUAAUAUAUAAAAUAAAUUAUCAUUUCAAUCACUUUAAGAUAUUUCAAAAUGCUAAUCUAUUAUCUGAAAAGAGCAGUGCACAAACAUUAGUUUCACAUAUUUAUAUUAAUAUAAGACAUCUAAAAAUGUGGUUUGUUUUUAAUUACAGAUGUUGACUAUCUCCAUGUGUAUUUGUGUCUUUGUAUGUGUGUAAGCUUUUCCUCUAUGCUUAUUUUGCUUUAAGUGUUCAACCGGCAAGUUAAAAUGUUUAAUAUAAUGUUAUAUUAAUUAAUAUUUAAUAAUGUUAAUUAACUCUCACUUUAAUAAAUAGCUUUCCUUGUUAUUCCUCUAAUUUUCCAUUAAAAUCUAAAUUUUCAUAAAGAAAAUUAUACAUAGUUUCAAUGCUACUAACAAGUUCGGACAGCUUAUGUUCAUGAUAACCUGCCUUGUUAUUUUCGUUAAGUGAAGUUCUGUAAGAAUGUGAUCAUCGACAAUCUCUAGUAACUGGGCAAAUAGCAUAGCUUACUGGAAGAAUGCAUAAAAUAUGUUUGAAUCAUAGCCAUUAUUGUUUUGCCAAACAAAAUAUUAAGCAGCAUUUAUCUUACUACCUUGAAACAUGCAGAUAAAUAUUUCUUUUGUGUACUUUAUCAUCUUUCUUUUUUCCUCCAUUCCUCCCUGUCCUGUACUUUUUAUUAUUUAUGGAAACAAAUCACUGACAUUUUCAAGAUACACAUGGUUCUGAUUAAUAAUUUGAUCAAUAUCAGACAGAAUGAUACAUGCAAGAGAAAUAAAUUUUGAUUUAAUCUCUGCCAUUUUUUUUUUUUUGGUACAGCAGCUUAACCUUUCGCCUCACAUAUGAGUAUCCUAAUUUUAUAAGUUGGAAAAUGACAGGCAUGUAAAAUAACUUUGCCAAUAUUUUCCAGCAACCAGUAGGUGGUUACUACCUACUAGUGGUGCUUUGAACCCAUCUGUCUGGCUGAAAACCCAUGUUGUGAGAUACUGCCUCUCAUGUGAUAUCUAUGAAAACAAUUAAAAAGGUUAAGUUUACACCUCGUCAAACUCUUGGGCUGACUGCUAUCCUAUUUUUGUGAUAUGGUAGUAAUGUAUGAAAAGAAAAACUGAGGCUUGUAUGAGUAGUUCACUUAUGCUAUUGCAAGGUAUCAAGUUGCAAAGAAUUCUUAUCUUUCACUCUUCUCUACUUAUUAUUCAGAACUACAAAUCUAUUUCAAAAAGAAAUGCUGAGUGGCCACUCUUCUUUGGUAGUAGUUUUAAUAUCUUUGUUUAUUCCUAGUAUUCCAUAGGAAUUCCAUACCUCAAGCCCACAAUGGCUUGCAAGAAUUUCUGAGCACCAGGCAAUGUUGAGAUCCUUGUGUAACCCUGAUGAGAAAAUUUACAUGUAAAAGCCUGAAUGUCAGUUAGCUGAGAGGAAAUUGUAUCUUUUUAUCCAUUUUUAUAUUAACUACUUAACAACCAAUUCAUACUCAAUUUUAGCUUAAUAGAAAUGUUUAAUAUGAGCCAAAUGUGAAAAAAAAAUUAUAUUUAUUAAGGUAUGAUAAUCUUUACCACUCUCCAAAUUAAAACAACUAAAAAACCAAUUUCCUCAAAGAAGAUGCUAUAGUUAAAUU
rnacentral:lncRNA from 1 species